rnacentral:sRNA from 1 species
GGCUCCUCUGAGUCCAGUGUUUACAAGUAACUGUCUGACGGCCAUCAGUUCCAGAUUCCUUGGCCCCUUCUCCACGUCCACUGCUUCACUUGACGAGCCUAAA